rnacentral:rRNA from 1 species
UACGUAGGUGGCAAGCGUUGUCCGGAAUUAUUGGGCGUAAAGCGCGCGCAGGCGGUCUCUUAAGUCUGAUGUGAAAGCCCACGGCUCAACCGUGGAGGGUCAUUGGAAACUGGGAGACUUGAGUGCAGAAGAGAAGAGUGGAAUUCCACGUGUAGCGGUGAAAUGCGUAGAGAUGUGGAGGAACACCAGUGGCGAAGGCGACUCUUUGGUCUGUAACUGACGCUGAGGCGCGAAAGCGUGGGGAGCAAAC